AACGCUGGCGGCAGGCCUAACACAUGCAAGUCGAGCGCACCCUUCGGGGUGAGCGGCGGACGGGUUAGUAACUGCGUGGGAAUAUGCCCAGAUCUGCGGAAUAGCCUCUGGAAACGGAGAGUAAUACCGCAUACGCCCUUCGGGGGAAAGAUUUAUCGGAUUUGGAUUAGCCCGCGUUGGAUUAGGUAGUUGGUGGGGUAAUGGCCUACCAAGCCGACGAUCCAUAGCUGGUUUGAGAGGAUGAUCAGCAACACUGGGACUGAGACACGGCCCAGACUCCUACGGGAGGCAGCAGUGGGGAAUCUUAGACAAUGGGGGAAACCCUGAUCUAGCCAUGCCGCGUGAGUGACGAAGGCCCUAGGGUCGUAAAGCUCUUUCAGCUGUGAAGAUAAUGACGGUAGCAGCAGAAGAAACCCCGGCUAACUCCGUGCCAGCAGCCGCGGUAAUACGGAGGGGGUUAGCGUUGUUCGGAAUUACUGGGCGUAAAGCGCGCGUAGGCGGACUAUUAAGUCGAGGGUGAAAUCCCGGGGCUCAACCCCGGAACUGCCUUCGAUACUGGUAGUCUUGAGUUCGAGAGAGGUGAGUGGAAUUCC
rnacentral:rRNA from 1 species